rnacentral:rRNA from 1 species
UACGGGGGGGGCAAGCGUUGUUCGGAAUUACUGGGCGUAAAGGGCUCGUAGGUGGCCAACUAAGUCAGACGUGAAAUCCCUCGGCUUAACCGGGGAACUGCGUCUGAUACUGGAUGGCUUGAGUUCGGGAGAGGGAUGCGGAAUUCCAGGUGUAGCGGUGAAAUGCGUAGAUAUCUGGAGGAACACCGGUGGCGAAGGCGGCAUUCUGGACUGCAACUGACACUGAGGAACGAAAGCCAGGGGAGCAAACGGG